CCUACGGGUGGCAGCAGUGGGGAAUAUUGGGCAAUGGGCGCAAGCCUGACCCAGCAACGCCGCGUGAAGGAAGAAGGCUUUCGGGUUGUAAACUUCUUUUCUCAGGGACGAAGCAAGUGACGGUACCUGAGGAAUAAGCCACGGCUAACUACGUGCCAGCAGCCGCGGUAAUACGUAGGUGGCAAGCGUUAUCCGGAUUUACUGGGUGUAAAGGGCGUGUAGGCGGGAAAGCAAGUCAGAUGUGAAAACCAUGGGCUCAACCUGUGGCCUGCAUUUGAAACUGUUUUUCUUGAGUACUGGGGAGGCAGACGGAAUUCCUAGUGUAGCGGUGAAAUGCGUAGAUAUUAGGAGGAACACCAGUGGCGAAGGCGGUCUGCUGGACAGCAACUGACGCUGAGGCGCGAAAGCGUGGGGAGCAAACAGGAUUAGAGACCCCUGUAGUC
rnacentral:rRNA from 1 species